rnacentral:rRNA from 1 species
AUGAAUUGCGAGCCGCGGUGCGCAUCCAAGCACCGACCAGCAUUACCAGAGCCACCGUAUUUGCACGCAUUCAGGAGGAGGAAUUGGACAUUCAGCGCCCUCGCCUAUGACCCGCUUCUGCAGGACGGCCACCGCCACUGCCUAGCGUGCCACCGGCGUUGGGACGUCCUCCCCCAACACCAUCAGUGCCACCUGCCACUUCAGUACCCCGCGUCGUUCCGGCACCUAAGCAAGCCCCGGACGAUUUCGGGCGCGAGCGGCAGCUGCGAGACUACAGACGCCAGCAUGGCCUCUGUUUUCGUUGUGGCAACAAAUACUCAAGGGACCACCAAUGCAAACGCUCAGCGCAGUUGCUCACAAUAG